GACCCCGCACAAGCAGUGGAGCAUGUGGUUUAAUUCGACGCAACGCGAAGAACCUUACCAGCGUUUGACAUGAGAAGUGCCGGUUACAGAAUGGUAACCUUCAGUUCGGCUGGCUUCUACACAGGUGCUGCAUGGCUGUCGUCAGCUCGUGUCGUGAGAUGUUGGUUAAGUCCCGCAACGAGCGCAACCCUUAUCGUUAGUUACUAACAGUUCGGCUGAGGACUCUAGCGAAACUGCCGGUGAUAAGCCGGAGGAAGGUGGGGAUGAACGUCAAGUCCUCAUGGCCCUUACACGCUGGGCUACACACGUGCUACAAUGGUAGGUACAGAGGGAAGCCACCCCCGCGAGGGGGGAGCGGA
rnacentral:rRNA from 1 species